GAGUUUGAUCAUGGCUCAGGAUGAACGCUGGUGGUUUGCCUAACACAUGCAAGUCAAACGUUUUUUAGAUUAAAUUCUUUUAAUUUGAAGAAUAGUGGCGGACGGGUGAGGAACGCGUAAGAACCUGCCUUUAGGAAAGGAAAAACAUUAGGAAACUGUUGUUAAAACCUUAUAUGCCGAGAGGUGAAAGAUUAAAAAAUGCCAGAAGAUGGGCUUGCGUCUGAUUAGUUUGUUGAUGAGGUAAUGUCUUAUCAAGACGAUGAUCAGUAAUUGGUCUUAGAGGAUGAUCAGUCACACUGGAACUGAGACACGGUUCAGACUCCUAUGGGAGGCAGCAGAGAGGAAUUUUCCGCAAUGAGCGAAAGCUUGACGGAGCAAAACCACGUGGUGGAGGACGGUUUAUGGACUGUAAACACCUUUUUUUCAAGAAGACUUACGACAGUAUUGGAAGAAUAAGCAUCGGCUAACUCUGUGCCAGCAGCCGCGGUAAAACAGAGGAUGCUAGCGUUAUCCGGAUUAACUGGGCGUAAAGCGUCUGUAGGCGGUUAUCUAAGUCUUAUGUUAAAUACUAGAGCUUAACUUUAGCCCAGCAUAGAAAACUUGGUAACUUGAGUAUGAUAGGAGCAAUAAGAAUUCCCAGUGGAGCGGUGAAAUGCGUAGAGCUUGGGAGGAAUACCAGAGGCGAAAGCGUAUUGCUAGGUUAUUACUAACGUCCAAGGACGAAAGCUAGGUUAGCAAAUGGGAUUAGAUACCCCAGUAGUCCUAGCUCUAAACGAUGGAGACUAAAUUUUUUUUCUUUCUUAUUUAGAAACACGGAAAAGAGUUGAAGCUAACGCGUUAAGUCUCCCGCCUGGGGAGUAUGUUUGCAAGAAUGAAACUCAAAGGAAUUGACGGGGGGCCCGCCCAAGCAGUGGAGCAUGUGGUUUAAUUCGAUGCAACGCGAAGAACCUUACCAGGAUUUGACAUGACACUACUAGAUAAGGUGUUAACGAAAGUUAACUUUAGUUCACAGGUGGUGCAUGGCUGUCGUCAGCUCGUGUCGCGAGAUGUUGGGUUAAGUCCCGCAACGAGCGCAACCUUUAUUUUUUGUUGUGAUAUCAGAUCAAGAAAGACUGCCAGUGAUAAGCUGGAGGACGGUAAAGAUAACGUCAAGUCAGCAUGCCCCUUAUAUUCUGGGCAACACACGUGCUACAAUAGUUGGGACAAAGUGUAACUCCUUUGUAAAGAGAUGUUAAUCAUUAAACCCAACUUCAGUUCGGAUCCAUCUCUGCAACUCGAGAUGGUUAAGUCGGAAUUGCUAGUAAUCGCUGGUCAGCUAUACGGCGGUGAAUACGUUCCCGGGCCUUGUACACACCGCCCGUCACACCACGGAAGUGAACCAUACCCAGAGUCGUUAUUCCAACCUUAUUUUUGGAGGAAGGCGUUGAAGGUAGGGUUGAUGACUGGGGUGAAGUCGUAACAAGGUAACC
rnacentral:rRNA from 1 species